rnacentral:rRNA from 1 species
AUUGAACGCUGGCGGCAGGCCUAACACAUGCAAGUCGAGCGCGAAAAUUCCUUCGGGGAUGAGUAGAGCGGCGGACGGGUGAGUAAUGCGCAGAAAUCUGCCCAGUAGUGGGGAACAACCUGGUGAAAACCAGGCUAAUACCGCAUACGCCCUACGGGGGAAAGGCAGGGGAGUCUUCGGACCUUGCGCUAUUGGAUGAGUCUGCGUCGGAUUAGCUUGUUGGUGAGGUAAUGGCUCACCAAGGCGACGAUCCGUAGCUGGUCUGAGAGGAUGAUCAGCCACACUGGGACUGAGACACGGCCCAGACUCCUACGGGAGGCAGCAGUGGGGAAUAUUGUGCAAUGGGCGAAAGCCUGACACAGCCAUGCCGCGUGUGUGAAGAAGGCCUUAGGGUUGUAAAGCACUUUCAGUAGGGAGGAA